UACGGAGGGUGCAAGCGUUAUCCGGAUUUACUGGGCUUAAAGGGUGCGUAGGUGGGUCUGUAAGUCAGUGGUGAAAUCUCCGGGCUUAACUCGGAAACUGCCAUUGAUACUAUAGGUCUUGAAUUAUCUGGAGGUGAGCGGAAUAUGUCAUGUAGCGGUGAAAUGCUUAGAUAUGACAUAGAACACCAAUUGCGAAGGCAGCUCACUACGGAUAUAUUGACACUGAGGCACGAAAGCGUGGGGAUCAAACAGG
rnacentral:rRNA from 1 species